GUGCUCGCUUCAGCAGCAUUAAUACUAAAAUUGGAACGAUACAGAGAAGAUUAGCAUGGCUCCUAUGCAAGGAUGACACUCAAAUUUGUGAAGCAUUCCAUAUUUUU
ensembl:snRNA U6 U6 spliceosomal RNA